rnacentral:rRNA from 1 species
GCGAGUCGAAUGUAGCAAUACAUGGCGAACUGCUCAGUAACACGUGGACAACCUGCCCUUAGGUUGGGUAUAAACCCGGGAAACUGGGUAUAAUACCCGAUAGGUCUCGAUUGCUGGAAUGCAUCGAGAUUUAAAGCUCCGGCGCCUAAGGAUGGGUCUGCGGCCUAUCAGGUAGUAGUGGGUGUAGCGUACCUACUAGCCUACGACGGGUACGGGUUGUGAGAGCAAGAGCCCGGAGAUGGAUUCUGAGACACGAAUCCAGGCCCUACGGGGUGCAGCAGGCGCGAAAACUUUACAAUGCUGGCAACAGCGAUAAGGGAACCUCGAGUGCCAGGUUACAAAUCUGGCUGUCGAGAUGCCUAAAAAGCAUUUCAUAGCAAGGGCCGGGCAAGACCGGUGCCAGCCGCCGCGGUAACACCGGCGGCUCGAGUGGUAACCGUUAUUAUUGGGUCUAAAGGGUCUGUAGCCGGCCGGAUAAGUCUCUUGAGAAAUCUGGCAGCUUAACUGUCAGGCUUUCAGGAGAUACUGUCUGGCUCGAGGCCGGGAGAGGUGAGAGGUACUUCAGGGGUAGGGGUGAAAUCUUGUAAUCCUUGAAGGACCACCAGUGGCGAAGGCGUCUCACCAGAACGGACCUGACGGCAAGGGACGAAAGCUAGGGGCACGAACCGGAUUAGAUACCCGGGUAGUCCUAGCCGUAAACGAUACUCGCUAGGUGUCGGCCACGGUGCGACCGUUGUCGGUGCCGUAGGGAAGCCGUGAAGCGAGCCACCUGGGAAGUACGGCCGCAAGGCUGAAACUUAAAGGAAUUGGCGGGGGAGCACCACAACGGGUGGAGC